rnacentral:rRNA from 1 species
UACGAAGGGGGCUAGCGUUGCUCGGAUUGACUGGGCGUAAAGGGCGCGUAGGCGGUUCGUACAGUCAGACGUGAAAUCCCUCGGCUUAACCGGGGAACUGCAUCUGAUACUGGAUGGCUUGAGUUCGGGAGAGGGAUGCGGAAUUCCAGGUGUAGCGGUGAAAUGCGUAGAUAUCUGGAGGAACCCCGGUGGCGAAGGCGGCAUCCUGGACCGACACUGACGCUGAGGAGCGAAGCCAGGGGAGCAAACGGG